rnacentral:rRNA from 1 species
GACGAACGCUGGCGGCGUGCUUAACACAUGCAAGUCGAACGGUAAGGCUCCAGCUUGCUGGGGUACACGAGUGGCGAACGGGUGAGUAACACGUGGGUGACCUGCCCUGCACUUCGGGAUAAGCCUGGGAAACUGGGUCUAAUACCGGAUAGGACCGCACCGUGAGGGUGUGGAGGAAAGUUUUUUCGGUGUGGGAUGGGCCCGCGGCCUAUCAGCUUGUUGGUGGGGUAAUGGCCUACCAAGGCGGCGACGGGUAGCCGGCCUGAGAGGGUGGACGGCCACAUUGGGACUGAGACACGGCCCAGACUCCUACGGGAGGCAGCAGUGGGGAAUAUUGCACAAUGGGCGGAAGCCUGAUGCAGCGACGCCGCGUGGGGGAAGACGGCCUUCGGGUUGUAAACUCCUUUCACCAUCGACGAAGGGUUUCUGACGGUAGAUGGAGAAGAAGCACCGGCUAACUACGUGCCAGCAGCCGCGGUAAUACGUAGGGUGCGAGCGUUGUCCGGAAUUACUGGGCGUAAAGAGCUCGUAGGUGGUUUGUCGCGUCGUCUGUGAAAUUCCGGGGCUUAACUCCGGGCGUGCAGGCGAUACGGGCAUAACUUGAGUACUGUAGGGGAGACUGGAAUUCCUGGUGUAGCGGUGAAAUGCGCAGAUAUCAGGAGGAACACCGGUGGCGAAGGCGGGUCUCUGGGCAGUAACUGACGCUGAGGAGCGAAAGCAUGGGGAGCGAACAGGAUUAGAUACCCUGGUAGUCCAUGCCGUAAACGGUGGGCGCUAGGUGUGGGUUUCCUUCCACGGGAUCCGUGCCGUAGCUAACGCAUUAAGCGCCCCGCCUGGGGAGUACGGCCGCAAGGCUAAAACUCAAAGGAAUUGACGGGGGCCCGCACAAGCGGCGGAGCAUGUGGAUUAAUUCGAUGCAACGCGAAGAACCUUACCUGGGCUUGACAUAUACAGGAUCGCGCCAGAGAUGGUGUUUCCCUUGUGGCUUGUAUACAGGUGGUGCAUGGUUGUCGUCAGCUCGUGUCGUGAGAUGUUGGGUUAAGUCCCGCAACGAGCGCAACCCUUGUCUUAUGUUGCCAGCACGUUGUGGUGGGGACUCGUAAGAAACUGCCGGGGUUAACUCGGAGGAAGGUGGGGAUGACGUCAAAUCAUCAUGCCCCUUAUGUCCAGGGCUUCACACAUGCUACAAUGGUCGGUACAGUGGGUUGCCAGUCCGUGAGGGCGAGCUAAUCCCGCAAAGCCGGUCUCAGUUCGGAUCGGGGUCUGCAACUCGACCCCGUGAAGUCGGAGUCGCUAGUAAUCGCAGAUCAGCAACGCUGCGGUGAAUACGUUCCCGGGCCU